UCCGCUGUGGUGUAAUGGCUAACAUCGGUCGCUCUCAAACAAGAUCCGACCAGCUCGGGGUUCGAUUCCCCGCAGCGGAG